AUAGCGUAUAUUAAAGUUGUUGCAGUUAAAAAGCUCGUAGUUGAAUUUCGGGCAUUGCGGUCAGGUCUUCCUUAAUUGGUUGUACUUGAUUUGCUUCGCCUUAUCUUCUAGAUGCUAACAUGCCCUCGGGUGUGUUAUGUGCUCUAGGACUUUUACUGUGAAUAAAUUAGAGUGUUCAAAGCAGGCUUACGCUUGAAUACAUUAGCAUGGAAUAAUAAAAUAGGACUUUGGUUUUAUUUUGUUGGUUUUAAAGACCAAGGUAAUGAUUAAUAGGGAUAGUUGGGGGCAUUAGUAUUUCGAAGUCAGAGGUGAAAUUCUUGGAUUUUCGGAAGACUAACUAGUG
rnacentral:rRNA from 1 species